rnacentral:rRNA from 1 species
AUACGAAGGUCCCAAGCGUUAUUCGGAAUCACUGGGCGUAAAGAGUAUGUAGGCGGUUUGGUAAGUCAGGUGUGAAAUCCCGAAGCUCAACUUCGGAACUGCAUCCGAUACUGCUAGACUUGAGUAAUGGAGAGGCAGGUGGAAUUCUCGGUGUAGCAGUGAAAUGCGUGGAUAUCGAGAGGAAGACCAAUGGCGAAGGCAGCCUGCUGGACAUUUACUGACGCUGAGAUACGAAGGCUAGGGUAGCGAAAGGGAUUAGAAACCCCAGUAGUCC